GCUGAAGCAGUGAAGAAGUUUUCCAGAUAAUCUUUUAUGUUGAGACUUUUGGAAUGGGGCAAGCAUCCCCAGGCUCUUCUCAACCAUUUACUCUGAUGCAGUACAAGCCCUUCCUAUGGGCUGGUAUUAUCUACUUCAUGCAAGAAUAGUCUGUGGUAUGUGUUAUUUUACUGGUGUGUUGUGUACUCUGUCCUUAUUUUGAAAUGGCUGGGUGAUUUGUACUAGAUUGCGGAAAAAAAACUUUGCUCCCUUUUCCCAAAGAAGUAAUGAUAAUAGGUUCCCUAGUCAAAACUGGGGGAAAAGAAGAGGUAUUAUUCUCAUCAGGAAGCAAUAGUCCUCUAAGCUAGUCUAAUUGUCAAAUUUUUGUGCAAAUGUUAACACCAUAGCCAGAACCAUCGAUGUCAUUUCUGGAGGUAAUUUGGGGUAUGCUUAUUAUGUUUGGGUAUUCUUUCGGUUAUUGAGUUCAGGUAAGCUUUGUUGUAGUGGGAUGUGGAGGAUCCGGUCCCUUGGCCAUCUAAGCUAAUUAAUUUGGAUAAAUGGUUUAUGGUCUCCUCCAAUAUAUCUUAUCAAGCUUCAAGCCUAAUCCUUGCUUCCGUGUUCUGAUGCCUACCAUUUACUGCCACCAGACUUUAGCCGGUGCACUGAUUGGACUGCCACUGCCUGUCUUCUUGGGACCAUAGAGGACUGGACAGACUGUGGCUGCAUUAUUGUGAUUUCUGCCAGAAGUUUUAGCUGUAUACAAUCUUAUUUGAAGUUCUGUCUUGUUUUUCUUUCUUGCUGAAUCAGCCAGUCCCUGUUCAGACUUCAGACAGUACCCACUUGAAUCUCAUGAAGGUGGGCCAGAUCAAAGUUCCAGACAGAGUAGACAAACCUUCUUAUUGGGUCACUAAUGUUCAUUUCCAUGUGCUAACUAAAUAAUUAAUGCAUGAUUUACUUUUGUGAUGAUUUUCCUGUUUGGGUAGUGCUUACUUUUGAGAAAGAUGCUCACAUAUCAUGCAGGUUAUUAUAAUUGUGCAAACAGAGUAUUUAAGUGUGUGACAUGAGUAAGUGCUGCCUAUAUUGGUGAUAGGAUAUGCUGCUAAAUGAUAAUAAUGCAUCUUAUUUUGUGUGUCUUAUGCAAGAUUUAUCUUUCUUCUUGAACUUUGAUUACUCAGAUUUUAUUUACUGCCUUGUCAGUUCUUGGUCUGAAACUUAAAUGUUAUUGUGCUAUACUUUUCUCAUAAACAAUUUAGUUUUGACAAAAGAUAAGGUGUAUGUUUGUCUAGAACAGAGAUCAUAUUCUAUUCAAAUCUUUUGUCUGAAGUCUUGAGCUAGAGUAUAUAUGCAAAAAUAUCCUUAACUCCUUUCCAGAAAAUAAAAGUUAUUCUGUACUUAUCAAGAAUUAGGAAACAAGAGCAGCUAAAAUUAUAAAUAUAGUCUCAUUUUAUCAGACAUCGCCACUUGUCCAUCAUUAGGAAACUGCAUGUGUUUCUUUGAAAGAGAUAGGCAUUAGACAUUCGUUAGCUGUUUGCCUAUUACUUUUCAUGGGUAUGGUGAUAGGCUAACCAUACAAGUCUCUGUCUGGUUAGUUCUCCAUAUAUUGAAAUGGGUCGCAUUCCAUCUAGGUCAUUAUUGGUCCAUCCUCUACCUGGGAUGUCAACAUUCCCCUUGCUCCUCUUUCUUUCUAGUUUGUGAACUAUUUUUAGUUGAUUCUUUUGUAUCGCGACGUUUGUAGUCUCUAUGCUUACAAACUUGUCUGAGUUUGCUCUAUGAAUUGUCGAAUUCAUUGUGAUAAUUUUUUUAAUAAUUUCUUAUCAAGAAAGCUCAACUGCAUUUUGAAUGGACUUGCUCAACAGUUUCUUUUUACAAACCGUUCUAUAAACAAGUAAACUGCAGUCAGGCCAUGGAUAGGCUUUUGCAUAGGCUGUUUUGUACACACUGGUGUUAAUAAAUUUUGCACAGAUGGUACUACACUUUUUCAGUACUUGUGGUAUCCCGAACUGGCCGCUUUUCUGGAUAAUUGAAGCCAUCGCAGGACCCAAAAUUUAGCCCUAUCCUUGUGUUCUCUUGUGUUUCUAACAUCUUCUGUUGGAAUGUACCCUGCAUUAUCACUGGUGACCAUGUGACGGCGGGGAGCUAUGAAGUGGCGGUCCUUGCACACAUGUGCAUGCAUGUGUCGAUUUCCUCUUUUCUCAUUGCAUCUUUCAAAUAGGUAUGAUGUAUCUUGAUUCUUUCUUCUUGUUGGAGACCUUUGAGAGGGAGCUCAACCCUCUUAAUGAGCUAGUGGCGAGGUUAUUGCAAUUAUGCUCAAACAUCACUGGGAACGGUCUCACAUGGGUAGUACCAUUAUGACAUAGAACAUUCUGAUCAGAUCUCAAUGGGAUCUGAUUGUAGUUUAGAUUCAACUUGUUAGUUGGUGAAUUACCUCUCUGGCGUUUAACCAUUGCUAAAUCCAGAUAAAGUGAUAAUUACUUCUGAAUUGUUAGAUGUUGAGUGUUAAAUUCAUGUGGACUAGUCGGUUUAGAUUUUCAAAUCACCAGUGCAUCAGUUCCAUUCUGACUAGUCAUUUUUGGUGAGCUCUUCUUCUUCUUCAGAUUCUGUACUUUUGCUUGGUCUUAUCUAAUCCUAUUGCUUGUUUAUUAUUAGUAGCUUAUAUGAUCUGCUCUCUGAGCACUGUUGCUCCAUUAUCAGCAUUUUGGAAUCAUUGUUUGCCCAUAAGAGCAUACCUUUUAUGUUCCUUUUUGGGUAUCAUGAUUCUAUUUGAAAACCAGUAUAGUUGAUAUGUAUUUUAAAUUUGAAUAUUCGCAGUGGUUUCUAGUAAUUCUACCUUCUGCUAUUUUGUAUGAUAAUAAUUUGGUCUCUAAUUUGCUCAUUUCCAUGGUUCAGCAGAUAUCUCAAAUUCUGGGCAGGCAGAUAUUUGCAGGUCUCCCUAAGCGAGAUUUCUGGGUCCUAUUCGGAGUACAAGUUCUCUCAAGUAGAUGAGGUGGAAUUCGCAAGUAGAUGAGGUGGAAUUGGCAAAGGCGAUGGUGCCACCGAAAACGAAAUGAUACGGAUGAACAUUUGCGGGAGCGCGAUGAUAAGGUGAAAUGGAGGGCUUAAUUUCGGCGGUACCUUCCCCUCAUACUGCAGGGGCCCCGCGUUGGAACUUGGAAGUUUUGGAGCCUGCAGCGUGGACUUUGCUACCUCGAGGUCAUGCACUGUACGCGUACCUCAGUUCACUACUGCACACCGAAUUGAGAGUUCUUGCAUCUAGAGGUCGGCACAGGCUUUCAGUUUUGAUCUAACAAUCCGUAAGACCUGUCCAAAUGGCCAUUGAGAAUUCAAUUCGAGCUUCCCUCCUGUCCAUUCGGCCGCUGAGAAUUCAAUUCGAGAUUUCCUCACGAUGUGGAGCUGGUACAGGAUCUGCCUAAAACAUUGUGCUGGUUGAUCUUGCAGGUUCACUCGACGAUGAUCCGUGGGCGCGUCAGCAACACGGUUGGACUCGCCCAGCGACGGAUCCUGCCAUAUCUCCUGGUGGGGGAGCGGGGAGCCCCGCCUGAAACCGACCCCGGUGGGGCCGGCCUGGCUGCCGGCCAUAUCGCGUCCGCGUUGCAGGCGCAGGUGCGGCUGGGGCUCGGCUCCUCCUCUCUUGAUCUGGAUUCGCCGAAAGGGGAAGGGAAGGGAGGGCAGCCAGCGAUAAACAAAUGGAGAUCGCGCUGGCCCGUCCACACGGCGCCUCUAGGUGGCGGCGCCUCCGCCGCUGAACUCCCGAUCCCUCCCGACCCCGAGCACGGGCAUCACAAGUGCGGGUUCGGCACGAAACAAUGGCCCCAGCGGCCUCGGGGAGGGUCCAUGAACGCCACAAUGAUUUUAAGUCUGGAGUCUCGUUAACGAAUUGUUUAGUGAUCGUGUCGCGUAUGGAGAGUUCAGGAGUUGGGGGGGCGACACGCUCGAUAAUAUUGGAGAAAUGUGUGCGGCCGCGUGUGCUUUGUUUGUUGUUGCAAAGACUAAUCAUCCAGUGCUGAGAAAGAGGGAGGGGCUUCAGAUGGAUAACCUUUUCUUUUAUAGUAUCCUGAUAUGCUUGCAUGUGUAUAUACAUCUCGGUGGUUGGGCUCAUUAGCCCAAGCACAUGAUAUAUUUUGGAUUACAAAUAGCGAAAUAACGGGGUUUGCCCCG